rnacentral:rRNA from 1 species
UACAGAGGUCUCAAGCGUUGUUCGGAUUCAUUGGGCGUAAAGGGUGCGUAGGUGGCAUGGUCAGUCGGAUGUGAAAUCCCGGGGCUCAACCCCGGAACUGCAUUCGAUACUGCCGUGCUGGAGUACUGGAGAGGAGAUUGGAAUUUACGGUGUAGCAGUGAAAUGCGUAGAUAUCGUAAGGAAGACCAGUGGCGAAGGCGGAUCUCUGGACAGUUACUGACACUGAGGCACGAAGGCCAGGGGAGCAAACGGG